rnacentral:rRNA from 1 species
AGAGUUUGAUCAUGGCUCAGAACGAACGCUGGCGGCAGGCCUAACACAUGCAAGUCGAGCGCGUCUUCGGGCGAGCGGCGGACGGGUUAGUAACGCGUGGGAACGUGCCCAGAUCUACGGAAUAGCCACUGGAAACGGUGAGUAAUACCGUAUACGCCCUUAGGGGGAAAGAUUUAUCGGAUUUGGAUCGGCCCGCGUUAGAUUAGGUAGUUGGUGGGGUAAUGGCCUACCAAGCCUACGAUCUAUAGCUGGUUUUAGAGGAUGAUCAGCAACACUGGGACUGAGACACGGCCCAGACUCCUACGGGAGGCAGCAGUGGGGAAUCUUGGACAAUGGGGGCAACCCUGAUCCAGCCAUGCCGCGUGAGUGAAGAAGGCCCUAGGGUCGUAAAACUCUUUCGCCUGUGAUGAUAAUGACAGUAGCAGGUAAAGAAACCCCGGCUAACUCCGUGCCAGCAGCCGCGGUAAUAC